AGUCCAUGAUGUGGACAUCUCCGAAACAACUUUCUAAACCGUUUCCAAGGUUCAUACAAUGAUUUACCAUCAAAUUGACUAAAACUAGUGAUAUGCAUUCUAAGUUU